GACGAACGCUGGCGGCGUGCUUAACACAUGCAAGUCGAGCGGUAAGGCCCUUUCGGGGGUACGACGAGCGGCGAACGGGUGGAGUAACACGUGGGUGGACCUGCCCUCAGCUCUGGGAGUAAGCCUGGGAAACCGGGUACUAAUACUGGAUAUGACUCCAUGACGCAUGUUGUGGGGUGGAAAGCCUUGUGCGGCUGAGGAUGGGCCCGCGGCCUAUCAGCUUGUUGGU
rnacentral:rRNA from 1 species